rnacentral:rRNA from 1 species
GUCUUGACAUACACGGAACUUUCCAGAGAUGGAUUGGUGCCUUCGGGAACCGUGAUACAGGUGCUGCAUGGCUGUCGUCAGCUCGUGUCGUGAGAUGUUGGGUUAAGUCCCGUAACGAGCGCAACCCUUAUCUUUAUUUGCCAGCACAUCAUGGUGGGAACUAUAAAGAGACUGCCGGUGAUAAACCGGAGGAAGGCGGGGACGACGUCAAGUCAUCAUGGCCCUUACGACCAGGGCUACACACGUGCUACAAUGGGAAGGACAAAGGGUCGCUAAGCCGCGAGGUGGUGCUAAUCUCAUAAACCUUUCCGUAGUCCGGAUCGGAGUCUGCAACUCGACUCCGUGAAGUCGGAAUCGCUAGUAAUCGUAGAUCAGAACGCUACGGUGAAUACGUUCCCGGGUCUUGUACACACCGCCCGUCAUACCAUGGGAGUGGGUUGCAAAAGAAGUGGGUAGCUUAUCUGGGCGCUCACCACUUUGUGAUUCAUGACUGGGGUAAAGUCGUAACAAGGUA